rnacentral:rRNA from 1 species
CACGGGGGGAGCAAGCGUUGUUCGGAAUCACUGGGCGUAAAGGGCGUGUAGGCGGUCAGGUAAGUGAGAUGUGAAAUGCCCCGGCUCACCCGGGGACCGGCAUCUCAUACUGCUUGGCUUGAGUACGGGAGAGGAUGUGGGAAUUCCUGGUGUAGCGGUGAAAUGCGUAGAUAUCAGGAGGAACACCGGUGGCGAAGGCGGGUCUCUGGGCCGUAACUGACGCUGAGGAGCGAAAGCGUGGGGAGCGAACAGG